GAUGAACGCUGGCGGUGUGCCUAAUACAUGCAAGCCGAGCGAACAGACGAGGAGCUUACUCCUCUGACGUUAGCGGCGGACGGGUGAGUAACACGUGGAUAACCUACCUAUAAGACUGGGAUAACUUCGGGAAACCGGAGCUAAUACCGGAUAACAUGUUGAACCGCAUGGUUCAACAGUGAAAGUCGGUCUUUCUGUCACUUAUAGAUGGAUCCGCGUCGCAUUAGCUAGUUGGUAAGGUAACGGCUUACCAAGGCAACGAUGCGUAGCCGACCUGAGAGGGUGAUCGGCCACACUGGAACUGAGACACGGUCCAGACUCCUACGGGAGGCAGCAGUAGGGAAUCUUCCGCAAUGGGGGAGAGCCUGACGGAGCAACGCCGCGUGAGUGAAGAAGGUCUUCGGAUCGUAAAACUCUGUUAUUAGGGAAGAACAAAUGUGUAAGUAACUAUGCACGUAUUGACGGUACCUAAUCAGAAAGCCACGGCUAACUACGUG
rnacentral:rRNA from 1 species